UAGGGAAUAUUGCACAAUGGGCGAAAGCCUGAUGCAGCAACGCCGCGUGCACGAUGAAGGCCUUCGGGUCGUAAAGUGCUUUUCGGGGAGAUGAGAAAGGACAGUAUCCCCGGAAUAAGGAUCGGCUAACUACGUGCCAGCAGCCGCGGUAAAACGUAGGAUCCGAGCGUUAUCCGAAUUUACUGGGCGUAAAGCGCUUGUAGGCGGUUCGGUAAGUUGGAUGUGAAAUCUCCUGGCUCAACUGGGAGAGGUCGUUCAAUACUGUCGGACUAGAGGGUGGUAGAGGGAGGUGGAAUUCCCGGUGUAGUGGUGAAAUGCGUAGAUAUCGGGAGGAACACCAGUGGCGAAAGCGGCCUCCUAGACCGCUCCUGACGCUCAGACGCGAAAGCUAGGGGAGCAAACGGGAUUAGAAACCCCGGUAGUCCUAGCUGUAAACGAUGUGAACUUGGCGUUGGUGGGGUAAAAGCCAUCAGUGCCGAAGCUAACGCGAUAAGUUCACCGCCU
rnacentral:rRNA from 1 species